GCUGUGGCACUAUCGUCGUGGGGAACAGGAAGUUCCGGGUAGAAAACGACAGAACUAUGCUGUUAUGUCGUUAGUGGUUGUGUCCGAUUCAACUGUAUUAUUGUAGGCCGACUCCGAUUAAGUCUGAGGCCAUUAACAUAAACAGUGAGGACAAACCUACUGGGUCCUGAUUGUGAUAGUGGGGCCCAGUUUGCACUGCAGGAUCCAGAGAUGGCAUCAGGGAAGCUGGAAGACUGCAGUCAAACACUGGAACUGAAUGUCAUCAUUAAAGAUGAAGAAGAGGAGGAGGAGAUUGGAGACCAUGUUGAGACAUUCUCUACAUCCAGAGAGCAACAGCAGGAAGAUCACAGAGCUAAGAGGUCUCACCACUGCCCACAUUGUGAGGAGAUUUUCCCAAUUCUAUCAAAGCUAAAAAUACACCUAAAAAUACACACAGGAGAAAAGCCUUACUCCUGCUCUGACUGUGGGGGGAGAUUCUCCCGAUUGGAUACCUUAAAAUGUCACCAACGAAUACAUACAGGAGAGAAGCCUUACUCCUGCUUUGACUGUGGUAAAUGCUUUAAAACAUCAACUGAGCUAAAAUCUCAUCAGCGAAGACACACAGGAGAGAAGCCUUACUCCUGCUCUGAUUGUGGGGAGAGUUUCUCCAGAUUGGAUACCUUAAAAUGUCACCAACAAAUGCAUACAGGAGUGAAGCCCUACUCUUGCUCUGAAUGUGGAAAGAGUUUCUCUCAACAGGGCAACUUAAAAACACACCAACGUAUACAUAAAGGAGAGAAGCCUUACUCCUGCUUUGACUGUGGGAAAGGCUUUAAAACAUCAACUGAGCUAAAAUCUCAUCAGAGAACUCACACAGGGGAGAAGCCUCACUACUGCUCUGACUGUGGGGCGAGUUUCUCUCAAUUGAGCAAUUUAAGAAGACACCAACGUAUACAUAAAGGAGAGAAGCCUUACUACUGCUCUGACUGUGGGACAAGUUUCUCUCAAUUGAGCAACUUAAAAACACACCAACGUAUACAUAAAGGAGAGAAGUCCUCUCAGACCAGCUAAGAUUAAAGUCACUCCAUCACUUAAUUCUCAUUUGAUAAAAGAAGUGGUAAAAGUGAAUUGGAUCAAAUUAGGAAAGCGUAGAACACUCUAUUGUAAUCCAGUUGUUUCUCACUGGGAGAACCGUGCAGAGGAAAGGGAGCGUUAUAGAAUGUUAGCCUCUCUUUACUUUACUGAUCAGUGUGCACCUGGUCAGUUUUGGUGUGUUUUGUUAGAUUCUACUGUAAACAUAUUGAGAUUACCUGGAUUUUCCCUUAGCGUUGAAAACCCUCUGAGGGAUCACUUGUUAAAACAAUGGAGUGUGAUGGUUGACUGGGUGGUACGGCUUCCUUCUGCAGUUUUCUGUGGGAAUGAGCUGGUAAUCACAACAUGUAUCAGAUAGAGAUGGUGUGAUGAUCAGCUUUCACCACUAGUUUGGGUAUAUUAUUUUUGCUUUUAAUCAACUUUGUUUGUUUGAAACAUCUACACUGGAAACAAUAUAUAUAAAUGCAACAUGUGAAGUGUUUGUCACAUGUUUCAAGACCAGAAAUGUUCCAUCUGCACAAAAAGUGUAUUUCUCUCAAAUUCUGUGCUCAAAUUUGUUUCCAUCCCUGUUAGUUAGCAUUUUUUCUUUGCCAAUAUAAUCCAUCCAUCUGACAGGUGUGGCAAAUCAAGAAGCUGAUUAAACAGCAUGAUCAUUACACAGGUGAACCUUGUGCUGGGGGCAAUAAAAUGUGCAGUUUUGUCACACAACCCAGUGCCACAGAUGUCUCAUGUUUUAAGGGAAUGUGCAAUUGGCAUUCUGUCUGCAGGAAUACCCACCAGAGCUGUUGCCAGACGAUUUAAGGUUCAUUUCCCUACAAUAAGCUGCCUCCAACAUUGUUUUAGCGAAUUUGGCAGUACCUCCAACCGGCCUCAACCGCAGACCAUAUGUAUGGUGUUGUGUGGGCGAGCGGUUUGCUGAUGUGAAUGUUGUGAACAGAGUGCCCCAUGGUGGCAGUGAGGUUACGGUAUUGUUAGGCAUAAACUACGGACAACAAACACAAUUUUUGUGCCAUUCAUCCGCCGCCAUCACCUCAUGUUUCAGCAUGAUAAUGCAGCUUUGUGAGGCUCAUUUGAACUUGUUGAAUUUCUGGGAUCAUUUAUUUCAGCUUCAUGAAACAACACUUUACGUUGUGUUUAUAUUUUGUAGAUUUGUUAUUUUAGUCAUUGAUAAUAAAUGUAUUUGGAUAACUGUAGUGAACUUGAUUGAUCUACUAAUGAAAAAUAAAUGUUCUACAUUAA